AUUGAACGCUGGCGGCAGGCCUAACACAUGCAAGUCGCACGAGUGGCGGACGGGUGAGUAAUGUCUGGGAAACUGCCUGAUGGAGGGGGAUAACUACUGGAAACGGUAGCUAAUACCGCAUACCAUCAGAUGUGCCCAGUUGGGAUUAGCUUGUUGGUGGGGUAACGGCUCACCAAGGCGACGAUCCCUAGCUGGUCUGAGAGGAUGACCAGCCACACUGGAACUGGUACACGGUCCAUACUCCUACGGGAGGCAGCAGUGGGGAAUAGGGCACUAGGGGCGCAAGCCUGAUGCAGCCAUGCCGCGUGUAUGAAGAAGGCCUUCGGGUUGUAGAGUACUUGCAGCGGGGAGGCGUUACCCGCAGAAGAAGCACCGGCUAACUCCGUGCCAGCAGCCGCGGUAAUUC
rnacentral:rRNA from 1 species